UACGUAGGGGCCAAGCGUUGUCCGGAUUUAUUGGGCGUAAAGAGCUCGUAGGCGGUUCGGCAAGUCAGCUGUGAAAUCUCCACGCUCAACGUGGAGGGGUCAGCUGAUACUGCUGUGACUCGAGUCCGGUAGGGGAGUGGUGGAAUUCCCGGUGUAGCGGUGAAAAUGCGCAGAUAUCGGGAAGAACACCCGUGGCGAAGGCGGUUCUCUGGGACGGUACUGACGCUGAGACGGCGAAAGCGUGGGGAGCGAACAGG
rnacentral:rRNA from 1 species